AAUAGAUACCCCGGUAGUCCACGCCGUAAACGAUGAGUGCUAAGUGUUAGGGGGUUUCCGCCCCUUAGUGCUGCAGCUAACGCAUUAAGCACUCCGCCUGGGGAGUACGGUCGCAAGACUGAAACUCAAAGGAAUUGACGGGGGCCCGCACAAGCGGUGGAGCAUGUGGUUUAAUUCGAAGCAACGCGAAGAACCUUACCAGGUCUUGACAUCCCAUUGACCGCUAUGGAGACAUAGCUUUCCCUUCGGGGACAGUGGUGACAGGUGGUGCAUGGUUGUCGUCAGCUCGUGUCGUGAGAUGUUGGGUUAAGUCCCGCAACGAGCGCAACCCUUGUUCUUAGUUGCCAUCAUUUAGUUGGGCACUCUAAGGAGACUGCCGGUGACAAACCGGAGGAAGGUGGGGAUGACGUCAAAUCAUCAUGCCCCUUAUGACCUGGGCUACACACGUGCUACAAUGGACGGUACAAACGGUUGCCAACCCGCGAGGGGAGCUAAUCCGAUAAAACCGUUCUCAGUUCGGAUUGUAGGCUGCAACUCGCCUAC
rnacentral:rRNA from 1 species